CACCCCCCAAGCUUAGCUUGAUGUUGGGCGAGGUCCCCCGCUUGCGGGGGACCCGCCUGGAACGCAUGGGCGCCGCCGCCGGACCACGAGCGUAGCAAGACCGUAACAACGUCACGUCGCUUCGUAGGCUCUGGUGGACGGUCCGCCGAAACCUCGAUCUUCGGAUCGACUCACUG
rnacentral:misc_RNA from 1 species